UACGUAGGGGGCAAGCGUUGUCCGGAAUCAUUGGGCGUAAAGAGCGUGUAGGUGGCUCGGUAAGUCUGUGGUGAAAUCUCUGGGCUCAACUCAGAGUCUGCCAUAGAAACUGCAGUGCUGGAGUGCGGAAGAGGCGAGUGGAAUUCCUGGUGUAGCGGUGAAAUGCGCAGAUAUCAGGAGGAACACCUAUUGCGAAGGCAGCUCGCUGGGACGUAACUGACGCUGAGACGCGAAAGCGUGGGGAGCAAACAGG
rnacentral:rRNA from 1 species